GGAGAGGUCGCAUAGAGGCCUAGUGCACCGUCUUGGAAAGGCGGCAUACCUUUACCGGUAUCGCGGGUUCGAAUCCCGCCCUCUCCG
rnacentral:tRNA from 1 species